AGAAACUUAGGAUAAUAAAUCCGCAGGCCUUCAAAGCCUGAAACAAGAGUUAAAACCUCUUAAUUUCUG
rnacentral:tRNA from 1 species